GCGGUCGUCGUCCAGCCUGGUCCAGGACACGAGCUUCCCAAGCUUGUAACUCGGGUUCAAAUCCCGGCGACCGCA
rnacentral:tRNA from 1 species